CGCUGGCGGCGUGCCUAAUACAUGCAAAUCGAACGCACUCUCGUUUAGAUUGAAGGAGCUUGCUCCUGAUUGAUAAACAUUUGAGUGAGUGGCGGACGGGUGAGUAACACGUGGGUAACCUGCCCUAAAGUGGGGGAUAACAUUUGGAAACAGAUGCUAAUACCGCAUAAAACCUAACACCGCAUGGUGUAGGGUUGAAAGAUGGUUUCGGCUAUCACUUUGGGAUGGACCCGCGGUGCAUUAGUUAGUUGGUGAGGUAAAGGCUCACCAAGACCGUGAUGCAUAGCCGACCUGAGAGGGUAAUCGGCCACACUGGGACUGAGACACGGCCCAGACUCCUACGGGAGGCAGCAGUAGGGAAUCUUCCACAAUGGACGAAAGUCUGAUGGAGCAACGCCGCGUGAGUGAAGAAGGUUUUCGGAUCGUAAAACUCUGUUGUUGGAGAAGAAUGUAUCUGAUAGUAACUGAUCAGGUAGUGACGGUAUCCAACCAGAAAGCCACGGCUAACUACGUG
rnacentral:rRNA from 1 species